GACAGAGGGUGCAAACGUUGCUCGGAAUUACUGGGCGUAAAGCGCGUGUAGGCGGACCACCAAGUCGGACGUGAAAGCCCUGAGCUCAACUCAGGAACUGCAUCCGAAACUGGCGGUCUGGAGUGGUGGAGAGGAAAGCAGAAUUCCUGGUGUAGAGGUGAAAUUCGUAGAUAUCAGGAGGAACACCGGUGGCGAAGGCGGCUUUCUGGACAGAGUCUGACGCUGAGGCGCGAAAGCUAGGGGAGCAAACAGG
rnacentral:rRNA from 1 species